UACGUAGGGGGCAAGCGUUGUCCGGAUUUAUUGGGCGUAAAGAGCGUGUAGGCGGUCAGGUAGGUCCGUUGUGAAAACUCGAGGCUCAACCUCGAGACGCCGAUGGAAACCAUCUGACUAGAGUCCGGAAGAGGAGAGUGGAAUUCCUGGUGUAGCGGUGAAAUGCGCAGAUAUCAGGAGGAACACCGGUGGCGAAGGCGGUGGUCUGGGCCGGUACUGACGCUGAGGAGCGAAAGCGUGGGGAGCGAACAGG
rnacentral:rRNA from 1 species